UGCCAGCCGCCGCGGUAAUACGUAGGUGGCAAGCGUUGUCCGGAUUUACUGGGCGUAAAGAGUGUGUAGGCGGAUAAUUAAGUCAGGUGUGAAAUCCCGGGGCUCAACCUCGGAGGUGCAUUUGAUACUGGUUAUCUAGAGUGCGGGAGAGGAGAGUGGAAUUCCUAGUGUAGCGGUGAAAUGCGUAGAGAUUAGGAAGAACACCAGUGGCGAAGGCGGCUUUCUGGACCGAUACUGACGCUGAGACGCGAAAGCGUGGGGAGCAAACAGGAUUAGAUA
rnacentral:rRNA from 1 species